CAUCGUGGAAAACGAUCGAGAUUGGCAGUCUCAUGAACCUAACAUAUUUCUAACAUGUAUCGUUGAUUAUGUGAACUUUUGAAUCGCCUUCGCACGAACGAAACGAGUGUGCCUCGUUGGCCGAAUAAUCUCGAGGACAAAGGGAAGACCAAACCAUUCAACCUAAGAAGGAUUUCCGGCCGUGAGAUUCGCCGAGAGACGAUGGGGAGCAAAUUGAAUCGCAAAUAUGGAUUCAACGAGAGAUGCCGAGAACGCGCCGGCAGGGGCCUUGAGAGGGAAGAAAAUGACAGAUGUGAGGACAAAUAAAUCAAUAGCGUUCAAGCAGGGCGGCGGGCAUCGCUGAUACUUGACGGCGGUACGAGAUUCGAUAAAUACGAAAGAAGAACGCUCUCAAGUAGUCUAAAGCGUUCGACGCGGCUCUUUAGUGAAUGUUGGAUGGACUCGAGCUCUUUCGUAAUGCACGAUCGGUAGGCGAGGUCUUCCGGUCACGUCCCAAGUUCGUAGUUGAAGAAUAAGUU